rnacentral:rRNA from 1 species
UGGGGAAUUUUGGACAAUGGGGGAAACCCUGAUCCAGCCAUGCCGCGUGCGGGAGGAAGGCCUUCGGGUUGUAAACCGCUUUUGGCAGGAACGAAACGGCGUGCGCCAAUACCGCGCGCUAAUGACGGUACCUGCAGAAUAAGCACCGGCUAACUACGUGCCAGCAGCCGCGGUAAUACGUAGGGUGCAAGCGUUAAUCGGAAUUACUGGGCGUAAAGCGUGCGCAGGCGGUUCGCUAAGUCUGAUGUGAAAGCCCCGGGCUCAACCUGGGAAUGGCAUUGGAAACUGGCGAGCUUGAGUGUGGCAGAGGGGGGUGGAAUUCCACGUGUAGCAGUGAAAUGCGUAGAGAUGUGGAGGAACACCGAUGGCGAAGGCAGCCCCCUGGGCUAACACUGACGCUCAGGCACGAAAGCGUGGGGAGCAAACAGGAUUAGAUACCCUGGUAGUCCACGCCCUAAACUAUGUCAACUAGUUGUCGGGUCUUUACAGACUUGGUAACGCAGCUAACGCGUGAAGUCGACCGCCUGGGGAGUACGGUCGCAAGAUUA